rnacentral:tRNA from 1 species
ACUCCGGUAGCUCAGCUGGUUAGAGCACUAUCCUAAUACCAGGUAGAGGUCGCAGGUUCGAACCCUGCCCGGAGUA